AUUGUGGGGGAGGGGCCGGCCAGCCAGGGCAGGCAGGGGCGGCCUCUCUGACGAGAAGGAGGCCACUGGGCUGAGGCCAAUGAAUGGGAAAGAGCCAGCCAUGUGGUGAGCUGGGAGAGGGCAUCCCAGGCCGUGCGACCUGCGCUUGCAAAGGCCCUGGGGCCGGACAGUUCUUGGCAGAGUCUGAGGGCUUGAGUCUGGGGGAGCCUGGCUGCCCAGAGGUGGCAGAUGACAUGAAGAAAUAACCAUGUAAGGGCUGGCUGUGUAUGAGAGCAAGCAUUGGGAAGGAUGAAUGCCAACUAUGUUCCAGGAACUUCCACUGUUCUCACACACCCAGGUGAGUGGUGUUCAGGUGGGUGGCACCCAGGUGAGUGACAUCCCAGUUGAGUGGCACCCAGGUGAGUAGCAUCCAGGUGAGUGACACCUAGGUGAGUGACAUUCAGGUUAGUGGCGUCUGUGUGAGUGGCAUCAUCCAGGUGAGUAGCUUCCAGGUGAGUGGCACCCAGGUGAGUGGCAUUCGGGUGAGUGGCAUUAUCCAGGUGACACCUGGGUGAGUGGCAUCCAGGUGAGUGAUAUCAUCCAGGUAAGUGGCACCUAGGUGACAUCCAGGUGAGUGACGACAUCCAGGUGAGUGACAUCAUCCAGGUAAAUGGCACCCAGGUGAGUAGCAUUCAGGUGAGUGACACCCAGGCGAGUGGCAUCCACGUGACUAGCAUUGUCCAGGUGCAUAACACCCAGGUGAGUGGCACCCAGUUGAGUGGUGCCCAAGUGAGUCACAUCCAGGUAAGUGGGGUCCAGGUGGUGGCACCCAGGCGAGUGGUGCCCAGGUGAGUGACAGCCAGGUGAAUGGUGUCCAGGUGAGUGGCAUCACCCAGGUGAAUGGUGUCCAGGUGAGUGGCAUCCAGGUAAGUGGUGUCCAGGUGGUGGCACCCAGGUGAGUGGUGUCCAGGUGAGGGGCAUCACCCAGGUGAAUGGUGUCCAGGUGAGUGGCAUCCAGGUGGGUGGUACCGUCGACGUGACAAUAGCUAAAAAUUAUUGGGCUCAUUGUGGACAGGCACUGUGCCGAGCUUGACAUCACUGAACUCAGUUCAUCCUCGCCAGGAGCUUGUGGGCCGUCCCUAGAUCAGAAUCCGAGGAGAAAGGACUUCCACACGGCAGCCAGCGAGCUGGAGGGCGGCCUCCUGCCACCACCAGGCUCCCUAACCCAGUCCUGGAUAUCUGUGAAAGAAUGAGUGGAUCCCCACAGGCCAGCUAUCCCCAAACACACUCGUUUACACUGAAGCACCAGGAGAUCAGAACCUUCUGGAAUCUUAAUAUGCGAGGACUCGGUGGAGAAGGCGGCACUGAAGAAGAGUCGUCCCUAGGCCAGGCUGGAGGGAAACUCAAGACGGCGGCCUGGCCCUCCUGGGUGGCGGAAGUGGGAGCAGCAGGAGCCCUGGCGGAUCCGGGAGGCCAGAAGAGCGGAAGCUUCCUCCCCUCUCAGGACAGCCACAAGGACUUUCGGGGGUCGUGGCAGCUGCUCCACUUCCAACUUCCAGAUCCCUCUCACUUUCCUCUUCCCACCAACUCCAACCUGGGACCAAGCAGGGGAAAGCAGCUGCAGCCCAGCUUGACGCCCCUGCAAAUGGAGACCUGUGCACCUGGUUGUGAGCAUUUUAAAGGGUGUCACACAGGGCAUACCCUUCGGUGCCUGGAUUCCUUUGAUGAAAGGGCAAAGCCUUGAACCUAAGUCAUCUUCGAGUCCUCAGCACUUCACCCAGAGCCUGGCACACAGUAGGAGCACAGAAAGGUUUACAUCCAGCAGGAGUUGGCCCUGAGCUCUGAGUCCAGAUCAUUGCUCUUGGCUGAAGCAGCCUGUCUACUCACAAAGAUGAGCAUGGUCCCUGCCACGAGGAAACUCGUGGUCCUGUGGACUGCGGUGUGGAGGGAAAGCUUGGGAUUCUGAGCCUGAUAAUGCACCAUUACAUCCCCACUCACUCGGGCUGUGUGAACCCAGCAAGUCACAGGAUCACUGGGUGGUGAAAGAAAGAAACACUCACAGAAGCGUCUGUGCUUGGAGAGCCAUCUGGUCCGUCAUUGUGACUGCUGCUCUCAUUGCUAUCAUGGGUGUCACCAUUGCCAUCACUCAAGGACUUCUCUCCAGGCCCCGAAGCCAAGCUGGUGCCUGGUUCCUCUGGGUUGGGAGAGGGGCUGGGCAUGGACAGGAGGAGGGAAAAGGGACCUGUGCUAGCAGGUGAUGCCAUCCAAGACAUCUGCAUCCUAAUCCCUGGAACCUGGGAUUCCACUAGGUGCCAUGGCAAAGAGGGAUUAAGGUGGCAGGUGGAGUGAAGGUUGCUAAUCAGCCGACCUUAAAGUAGGGAGAUGAUCCUGAAUGAGACAAAAGAGAGAACCAGUCAUGGUGUCAUGAGAAGGACUCAAAAUGCAACUGCUGACUUUGAAGAUUAAGGGGCUACAAACCAAGGAACGUGGUAGUCUCUGGAAAAGACAAGGAAUAGACGCUGCGUUGGGGCCACCAGAAGGAACCAGCCCUGUCAACACCCUAAUUUUAGCCCAGUGAGGCCUGUGCUGGACUUCUGACCUCCAGAACUGUAAACUAAUAAAUGUGUGUUGUUUCUGCC
rnacentral:lncRNA from 10 species